rnacentral:lncRNA from 1 species
GGCCAGUCCUUUGUUUACUUCACUAGCAUAGCUUCACUCUUCACUAGACAAUCUACUAUGCCCUUCCUUCCUUGCUUAUUAAUUAGUAAAAAUGAAUCUAGGGUUCAAGUGGUAUUUGAAUGGAGGAAUCAAACAAGGAAUCAAGGAUCUGAACUCCUUCACUUUUCAUUCUCAAUUUUAAUCAACACACGAAUCCUAAAAUCCCCAGAUCAUUUAGGCUACUCUUCAAUCCAACCAUAUUUUGACAUGGCACAUUCGCUCC